rnacentral:misc_RNA from 1 species
UGUGAAGACGUGAAUGACAAUAAUAUGGAUGAUUAUAGCAAUCUGGAUGAGAUCUCAGAGACUGAUCUUCCUGAAGAAAGAAAUAUACCAGUCAAGGUAAUAAAUGAAGAAGACCUUAAAUCUGGUACAUAUACCAUUGAUGACGUACUUCUACCUUUGUCUGGGUCUAGAGUUAUUUAUCCAUCAAAUGACAUUGGUGAAGUUUACCGUGACUUGGCACAAAAGGAUGGUAUCAGCUUGACAGAGACUGCUCAUAAGAUUAAAG